UCAAGUAAUUAAGUGCAUGUGGUGGAUGCCUUGGCAGUCAGAGGCGAUGAAAGACGUGAUAGCCUGCGAAAAGCUCCGGGGAGGCGGCAAAUAUCCUUUGAUCCGGAGAUGUCUGAAUGGGGGAACCCACCUACUUUAAGGUAGGUAUUGCAACAUGAAUACAUAGUGUUGCAAGGCGAACGAGGGGAAGUGAAACAUCUCAGUACCCUUAGGAAAAGAAAUCAAUUGAGAUUCCCUCAGUAGCGGCGAGCGAACGGGGAUCAGCCCAUUAAGUUAUGUGUGUUUUAGUGGAACGCUCUGGGAAGUGCGAACGUAGAGGGUGAUAUUCCCGUACACGAAAGGGCACACAUAAUGAUGACGAGUAGGGCGAGGCACGUGAAACCUUGUCUGAAUAUGGGGGGACCAUCCUCCAAGGCUAAAUACUCCUGACUGACCGAUAGUGAACCAGUACCGUGAGGGAAAGGCGAAAAGAACCCCUGUGAGGGGAGUGAAAUAGAUCCUGAAACCGCAUGCAUACAAGCAGUGGGAGCACCUUCGUGGUGUGACUGCGUACCUUUUGUAUAAUGGGUCAGCGACUUAUAUUCAGUAGCGAGGUUAACCGUAUAGGGGAGCCGUAGAGAAAUCGAGUCUUAAUAGGGCGUUUAGUUGCUGGGUAUAGACCCGAAACCAGGCGAUCUAUCCAUGAGCAGGUUGAAGGUUGGGUAACACUAACUGGAGGACCGAACCCACUGUCGUUGAAAAGCCAGGGGAUGACUUGUGGAUAGGGGUGAAAGGCUAAUCAAGCCUGGUGAUAGCUGGUUCUCCCCGAAAGCUAUUUAGGUAGCGCCUCGGACGAAUACCAUAGGGGGUAGAGCACUGUUUCGGCUAGGGGGUCAUCCCGACUUACCAAACCGAUGCAAACUCCGAAUACCUAUGAGUACUAUCCGGGAGACAGACUGCGGGUGCUAACGUCCGUAGUCAAGAGGAAAACAAUCCAGACCGCCAGCUAAGGCCCCAAAAUCAUAGUUAAGUGGGAAACGAUGUGGGAAGGCAUAGACAGCUAGGAGGUUGGCUUAGAAGCAGCCACCCUUUAAAGAAAGCGUAAUAGCUCACUAGUCGAGUCGGCCUGCGCGGAAGAUGUAACGGGGCUAAAACUAUGUGCCGAAGCUGCGGAUGUAUACUUUGUAUACGUGGUAGGGGAGCGUUCUGUAAGCCGAUGAAGGUGUGUUGAGAAGCAUGCUGGAGGUAUCAGAAGUGCGAAUGCUGACGUGAGUAACGACAAAACGGGUGAAAAACCCGUUCGCCGAAAGACCAAGGGUUCCAGUCCAACGUUAAUCGGGGCUGGGUGAGUCGACCCCUAAGGCGAGGCCGAAAGGCGUAGUCGAUGGGAAAAUGGUUAAUAUUCCAUUACUUCUGUGUAAUGCGAUGAGAGGACGGAGAAGGCUAAAUCAGCCUGGCGUUGGUUGUCCAGGUGAAAGGAUGUAGGCAUGUAUCUUAGGCAAAUCCGGGGUACUCUAUGCUGAGAUCUGAUAGCAAGCUGUACUUGUACAGCGAAGUGGUUGAUGCCAUGCUUCCAGGAAAAGUCUCUAAGCUUCAGUUACACAGGAAUCGUACCCGAAACCGACACAGGUGGUCAGGUCGAGUAGACCAAGGCGCUUGAGAGAACUCUGCUGAAGGAACUAGGCAAAAUGGUACCGUAACUUCGGGAGAAGGUACGCUGUUGUUGGUGAUGGAACUCGCUUCCUGAGCUGACGACAGCCGCAGAAACCAGGCCGCUGCAACUGUUUAUUAAAAACAUAGCACUCUGCAAACACGAAAGUGGACGUAUAGGGUGUGAUGCCUGCCCGGUGCUGGAAGGUUAAUUGAUGGGGUUAGCGUAAGCGAAGCUCUUGAUCGAAGCCCCAGUAAACGGCGGCCGUAACUAUAACGGUCCUAAGGUAGCGAAAUUCCUUGUCGGGUAAGUUCCGACCUGCACGAAUGGCAUAAUGAUGGCGGCGCUGUCUCCAGCAGAGGCUCAGUGAAAUCGAAAUCGCUGUGAAGAUGCAGUGUACCCGCGGCUAGACGGAAAGACCCCGUGAACCUUUACUGCAGCUUGACACUGAACUUUGACCUUACUUGUGUAGGAUAGGUGGGAGGCUUUGAAGCUGGAACGCUAGUUCCAGUGGAGCCGUCCUUGAAAUACCACCCUGGUAAUGUUGAGGUUCUAACUCUGUCCCGUGAUCCGGGACGAGGACCGUGUCUGGUGGGUAAUUUGACUGGGGCGGUCUCCUCCUAAAGAGUAACGGAGGAGUACGAAGGUGCGCUCAGCGUGGUCGGAAAUCACGCGUAGAGUAUAAAGGCAAAAGCGCGCUUAACUGCGAGACCCACAAGUCGAGCAGGUACGAAAGUAGGUCUUAGUGAUCCGGUGGUUCUGUAUGGAAGGGCCAUCGCUCAACGGAUAAAAGGUACUCUGGGGAUAACAGGCUGAUACCGCCCAAGAGUUCAUAUCGACGGCGGUGUUUGGCACCUCGAUGUCGGCUCAUCUCAUCCUGGGGCUGAAGCAGGUCCCAAGGGUAUGGCUGUUCGCCAUUUAAAGAGGUACGCGAGCUGGGUUUAGAACGUCGUGAGACAGUUCGGUCCCUAUCUACCGUGGGCGCUGGAAAUUUGAGAGGAUCUGCUCCUAGUACGAGAGGACCAGAGUGGACGAACCUCUGGUGUACCGGUUGUGACGCCAGUCGCAUCGCCGGGUAGCUAUGUUCGGAAGGGAUAACCGCUGAAAGCAUCUAAGCGGGAAGCCUACCUCAAGAUAAGAUUUCCCUAGGACUUUAUGUCCUCUAAAGAGCCGUUCGAGACUAGGACGUUGAUAGGUUGGAUGUGGAAGCAUAGUGAUAUGUGAAGCUGACCAAUACUAAUUGCUCGUGAGGCUUGACU
rnacentral:rRNA from 1 species